UACGUAGGGUGCGAGCGUUGUCCGGAAUUAUUGGGCGUAAAGGGCUCGUAGGCGGCCAACUAAGUCAGACGUGAAAUCCCUCGGCUUAACCGGGGAACUGCGUCCGAUACUGGCAGGCUUGAAUCCGGGAGAGGGAUGCGGAAUUCCAGGUGUAGCGGUGAAAUGCGUAGAUAUCUGGAGAAACACCGGUGGCGAAGGCGGCAUCCUGGACCGGCAUUGACGCUGAGGCGCGAAAGCCAGGGGAGCAAACGGG
rnacentral:rRNA from 1 species